rnacentral:lncRNA from 1 species
CAGGCUUAUUUGGCUUACAUUUCCACAUCAUAGUCUAUCACUGAAGAAGUCAGAACAGGAACUCAAACAGGGCAGGAACCUAGAGGCAGGAGCUGAUACAGAGGCCAUGGAGGGGUGCUGCUUACUGGCUUGCUGUCCAUGGCUUGCUCAGCCCAUUUUCUCAUAAAACCUAAGACCACUAUCCCUGAGACAGCCCUACCCCCCAUGGGCUGGACCUUCCCCCAUCAAUUAUUAAAUAAGAAAAUGCCCUAUAGGCUUGCCCACAGCCCAAUCUUAUGAAGAUGUUUUUAUCAAUUAAGGCUCUGUCCUCUCCAAUGACUCUAAUUUGUGUGAAGUUGGUAUAAAACCAGCAAGCACAGUCACUCAAUAGGAGAGAACUCAUGCCUAGUACUAUAAACCUAACCAAGAACCCACAGUUGGAGAGGUCAGAGGUCCUAUUGUAUCAGCCGUAACAAGAGCCCAAAUAAGCAGCCACCAAAACUAAGAACUAAAUUAACCUCUUUCCUGUUUAAAGUACCUAGCCCUGGGUAUUUUAUGAUAAUUACAUGAAACAGAUCAAGAGGAGGAAUUGAUCAGAUAAGUAACUAUCUUAAAGAUAAUAUAAAAUCUAGAAUUUCCACCAUCACAGAAGAGGAAACUAGAAAACAGGAAAAUUAGUCCAGUGAUGCUGGGUAAGAUCUAAAGAGCAGCCAGGUGUUACUUUAUAACUUACUAUAUAGAAACAAAUGACACAUAUGCAAAUAUGCAUCUGCUUAGCAAGAGGGCCAGGAGCAGACUCCCAGUAGUCAAAGGUGCUCAGAACAUGGGUCCUGCAAGCUGCUGCCAACGGAAAGAGAUUCCUCAAAGAAUAACUAAUUCAGGAUCCAAGUUAGGGAAAGUACAAACAGCCUGGACCAAACAAGGAUGUUCUCACAGAAUGUUGAAAGUGAGUCAAGGAGCACAGGAGACAGCUUGAAGGAGUUCCACUAACCAAAUCUGGGACAACUGGAACUUCAAAGCAGUGGGAUUUAGGUAGUUCAGGGCUUCUGAAUCUCAAUCACGACGACGACCACUUACCUCUGUUCCUCAUCUGCUCCCUGAGCCAAUGACAGAAUGUGGAGCUGAAAGUGGUGAGAAGUUCAUCUCACUCAAAUUUUUCCUCUCUGAAAAGAAUACAGAAAAAAAAGGAUGGUGGGAAAUGAGGGGGGCAGCUAAUAUUGACCAUGGAAUGUGAACUCUUCUUAGUGCUCUGAUUUCAACACAAUACUGACAGGAAUGACACCUGGCACUCCAGCUGUACUUCAGAGUCCACUGUAAGUUGACUCCAACCUUCCCUCCAUUCAAAGUCUAUAGUUACACUCAUUCUACAUCAAGAAAUGAAAGUGAUAAUGAAGUCUCCAGAUCCUUCAGGAUGGAGGAAACAAGCCUGUGAGGGGCUCACAUUAGGUUUACUUUCUACAAUCUGAGAAAAUCUCUGUGAUUAUUAAGCUUGAUUAUCAUACUAAUAAUUGACAUUUCAAAGUUCAAUUGAGUUACAAUUUUAUGGGAC